GAGUUUGAUCGUGGCUCAGGACGAACGCUGGCGGCGUGCUUAACACAUGCAAGUCGAACGAUGAAGGGGAGCUUGCUCCUUGGAUUAGUGGCGAACGGGUGAGUAACACGUGAGUAACCUGCCCUUGACUCUGGGAUAAGCGUUGGAAACGACGUCUAAUACCGGAUAUGACCUGUGACGGCAUCGUCUGCAGGUGGAAAGAAUUUUGGUCAAGGAUGGACUCGCGGCCUAUCAGGUAGUUGGUGAGGUAACGGCUCACCAAGCCGACGACGGGUAGCCGGCCUGAGAGGGUGACCGACCACACUGGGACUGAGACACGGCCCAGACUCCUACGGGAGGCAGCAGUGGGGAAUAUUGCACAAUGGGCGAAACCCUGAUGCAGCAACGCCGCGUGAGGGACGACGGCC
rnacentral:rRNA from 1 species